AUUGAACGCUGGCGGCAGGCCUAACACAUGCAAGUCGAGCGGAUGAAGGGAGCUUGCUCCUGGCUUCAGCGGCGGACGGGUGAGUAAUGCAUAGGAAUCUGCCUGGUAGUGGGGGAUAACGUCCGGAAACGGGCGCUAAUACCGCAUACGUCCUGAUGGAGAAAGUGGGGGAUCUUCGGACCUCACGCUAUCAGAUGAGCCUAGGUCGGAUUAGCUAGUUGGUGGGGUAAAGGCCUACCAAGGCGACGAUCCGUAACUGGUCUGAGAGGAUGAUCAGUCACACUGGAACUGAGACACGGUCCAGACUCCUACGGGAGGCAGCAGUGGGGAAUAUUGGACAAUGGGCGAAAGCCUGACCCAGCCAUGCCGCGUGUGUGAAGAAGGUCUUCGGAUUGUAAAGCACUUUAAGUUGGGAGGAAGGGCUGUAAGUUAAUACCUUGCUGUUUUGACGUUACCAACAGAAUAAGCACCGGCUAACUUCGUG
rnacentral:rRNA from 1 species